ensembl:lncRNA
UCUGUUGAAAGUUUCAUAGCAAAUCCUCAAAGCCUCAGUUGUCUUGAUGAUUUGAGAGCAGUGGCCCCAUUAUGAGAACCUUAGAUUCCCAUUAUGAAGUCACUUUGCAAAUAACCUGUUUACAUGUGACAUCAAGGAUAAAGUCUUCAGGUUACUAAAGAGCAAGACUUCCAGGGAAAAUGUUUCUUCUUAACAGUCUGUGGAGCUAAGGUUCUGACAGCAUGACUUAACAUUAUUGUGACUGUUAAAUUAUUCAGUUCCAUAAAAGUAUAUUCUUUUUUUAACUAGCAAGAAGAAACAGAUGUGAAAAGAAGAUGAACUUGGAAUGAAUAAUUUGGGGAAACUUUAAAAAAAUUUACAUGUCUUCCUUCGACACUUGCUCCCCUCAACUCAAAGAUUCUAAUUCAUGUUUUCCAGGGAGCUGUGAGGUGACAGUGUCUGAGAAUUCUUUGGGCAGAAGAUAGUCAUGGGGCUGCUCUCGUCUCGGGCACACAUAGGGCAGUGCUGAAAGGGAAAUACACACUAGAGAUGGAUGGAAAGCAAAAUCAAAAGGUCAGAAAGCAAGUUCUAUUCUCAUUUGCUGAGGUGACCAAGGACAGUGAGGUAGCGGCAAGACAGAUGGGCUUGCAGUGCCAGCCAAGCCUUCUGCACUUGUAAUGUUUUCAGGCAGGAUAACUCAUCCUGAUUAUUAAAUCAUCUCUUAGUGAUUUGAGAUGGUAAAAGCAUGCUAGAAGUUUUUGCUGAGCUGGGAGAAGUUUUCUUUUCAUUUAGGAAAAGAAAGCUUAGAGCCAGAAAGUAGAAAUGGGAUACAAGACUCAAACUUCUCAGGGAUACUACCUAUACUGCUGGUCUGGACUUUAAAGUACUUAAGAGCAGAAGAGUUUCUUCAGAAUAACAAGUGUAGAUUGUUAGUUCAACAUAGUUCAUAGUUCAAACUAUGACAAGUGUAGAUUCUCCUUGAUAUUUUAAUUAAUGACAAGGCCUUACAGAGCCUAAAGGAGUCAGCAUUACCAGUAUGUUCCAUGUGUUCCUGUAGCACCUAAUGGUUUUUCAAGUAUAUUCUAAUAACAAUAGGAAUCAUAGCUACAACAAUGUUUAUAUAUUUUAGCACUGAUAGCAUUUUUAUAUUCUAAGUACUUCCCUUCUGUGCAUUAACUGCUAAUUCUUAUGAUAGUUUUGAAAAUUAAGUAUCACUGGUACCAUCUUAGUGUGUGUGAAAGUCACUUGUCAUGUCCGACUCUUUGCUACCCCAUGGACUGUAGCCUGCCAGACUCUUCUGUCCAUGGAAUUCUCCAGGCGAGAAUGAUGGAGUGGGUAGCCAUUCCCUUCUCCAGGGGAUCUUCCCAAUCCAGGAAUGGAACCUGGGUUUCCUGCAUGGCAGGCAGAUUCUUUUCCAUCUGAGCCACCAGGGAAGCCCCAAGCCUUUGCAAAAAGGACUUCUUGGCCUCUCCCAACAGGGCUAGGAGCUUGUAGAUCAAAGACAUGCCCUGGAAACACUUGUAGUCUCCUGAAUUCCCAUCCCAAGAGGACUUUAUCCUGCUAGCAGGAACUAUGUAGAUGUCUUCUUCAACUCCACUCUCCAAGGCAGCUUGUGUUCUUGGGAUACAUACCCUUCACCUUAAAAUGUCACCUAGGUGUGACUGUUUGCCAGGGUUUGAGUGAAGUUUGGACAUACAGGCUUUGGUGUGCAAGCGUGUGUGCACAGGGCUCUUCAUGAGGCAUGACAGGAUUGGGAGUGGAGAGAAGAGAACUUCUGCAGGUCAGGAGAGGGACCAGUGACCAAUUUCUCCCAUGCCACCAUAUUCCAGGAAAGAAUUCUAAGGAGUUUGAGAAUUUUACAUUUAAACCUGGGUUUUUCAUAUUGCAGUAAUGCUAUUAUUUGCCAAGGUAGGAGGAUAUAAUUUUAUUUAAAUGUGUCUUAGCUAUGGCAACCCUCUCCAGUAUUCUUGCCUGGAGAAUCCCAUGGACGGAGGAGCCUGGUAGGCUACAGUCCGCAGGGUCACAGAGUCGGACACGACUGAGCGACUUCAUUUGCAUUCAUUUAGCUGUAAGUUUUAAAUAGUUGGGCUAAGUAAAUGAUGGCUUCCCUAGUGGCUCAGAUGGUAAAGAAUCCGUCAGCAAUACAGGAGACCUGGGUUCGAUCUCUGGGUUGGGAAGAUCACUGGAGAAGGAAAUGACAAUCCACUCCAGUAUUCUUGCCUGACGAAUCCCAUGGCCACAGGAGCCUGGGGGGUUACAGUCCGUGGGGUCACAUUAUAUACAUACAGUAUAUGGGCUUCCACUUUAAUUUUUGCCUUUAGCUCCCAAAUGUAAUGCAUGGGCCUAGAUAUUACUCCCAUUUAAAAAAUGUGUUAACAACUCUGAGAAGACAAGUGACUGGCUUAUGAUCAUAAAGUGAGACUAGAUUUGAGACCAGCACUCUUUGACAUGAAUGCCUGUGCCAUUUCCACCACAUGCUUCCUCUCACAUAUAUUCUGAGACAGUCCUCACUUUAACUGUAUGAAAGUGGGGUUACUUCUGUCUCCAUUUUUGUCAGCUGAUGUGGACUCUGACUCAGCAAAAAUGAUUGAUCCAGGGUCCCAUGAUACAGCCAUUCCUUAACCCAUCUUUUGACUCAAAUUGGUAAGUAUCAUUGGUAAGUAUCAGAUGAUGAGGAUAUUUUCCAAAAAUGUUUAACUUGGAAAAGAGAAGGCCAAGCGUGAUCCAUGAAAGUCACUUAAAACCUAUAAUAGUCUGUCUCUGAAGAGAAACAAACUUGGUCUAUGUAGGCACUAUGAGACAGAACUAAAACCCAUGGAAAGAAACUAAAGGGAGAUAUAGGGGUUCAACAUAAGGAAGAACUUUCCAACCAUUAGAAUCUUUCAGUUGUGUCCAUGUUAAGUUGAUGAACUCGCUAUUGCUAGAGAGGUAUCUAAGCAGAAGCGGUCAGGGAUGUUGUAAGUAGGAUUUCUGUAUUCCUUAUCUGGAUGCCUCUGAUGUUCUCUGAAGUCCUUUCUAGAAAUUCAAAAUUCCAG